rnacentral:rRNA from 1 species
GACGAACGCUGGCGGCGUGCUUAACACAUGCAAGUCGAGCGAUGAAGCACCUUCGGGUGUGGAUUAGCGGCGAACGGGUGAGGAACACGUGAGGAAUCUGCCUUCCACUCUGGGAUAACUCCGGGAAACCGGGGCUAAUACCGUAUACUUUCAACUGGCGGCAUCGCCGGUUGAAGAAAGUUUUUCGGUGGAAGAUGACCUCGCGGCCUAUCAGCUUGUUGGUGAGGUAAUGGCUCACAAAGGCGACGAAGGGUAGCCGGCCUGAGAGGGCGACCGGCCACACUGGGACUGAGACACGGCCCAGACUCCUACGGGAGGCAGCAGUGGGGAAUAUUGGGCAAUGGAGGAAACUCUGACCCAGCGACGCCGCGUGAGGGAUGAAGGCCUUCGGGUUGUAAACCUCUUUCAGCAGGGAAUAAGCGAAAGUGAAGGUACCUGCAGAAGAAGCACCGGCUAACUAUGUGCCAGCCGCCGCCGUAA